rnacentral:rRNA from 1 species
UCGAACGCAGCGGCCGAGUGCCGGCUGCGUGGCGAACGGCUGAGGAACACGUGGGUAACCACCCCCGGAGUGGGGGAUACCCCGUCGAAAGACGGGACAAUCCCGCAUACGCUCUACGGAGGAAAGCCGCAAGGCGCUCCGGGACGGGCCUGCGGCCCAUCAGGUAGUUGGUGUGGUAAUGGCGCACCAAGCCAGUGACGGGUACCCGGUCUGAGAGGACGGCCGGGCAGACUGGGACUGCGACACGGCCCAGACUCCUACGGGAGGCAGCAGCAAGGAAUUUUCCCCAAUGGGCGCACGCCUGAGGGAGCAACGCCGCGUGGAGGACGACGGCCUUCGGGUUGUAAACUCCUUUCGGGUGGGACGAAACUGACGGUACCACCAGAAGCAGCCCCGGCUAACUCUGUGCCAGCAGCCGCGGUAAGACAGAGGGGGCAAGCGUUGUCCGGAGUUACUGGGCGUAAAGGGCGCGGAGGCGGUCUGCUGCGUCGGCGCUGAAAGCGCCCCGCUUAACGGGGCGAGGCGCGCCGAUACGAGCAGGCUGGAGGCGAGCAGAGGGUGGUGGAAUUCCGGGUGGAGCGGUGAAAUGCGUAGAGAUCCGGAGGAACGCCGGUGGAGCAGUCGGCCACCUGGGCUCGACCUGACGCUGCGGCGCGACCGCGUGGGGAGCAAACCGGAUUAGAUACCCGGGUAGUCCACGCCGUAAACGAUGCCGGCUCGGCGUUUGGCGCGCGUGAGCGUGCUGGGCGCCUUAGCUAACGCGGUAAGCCGGCCGCCUGGGGACUACGAGCGCAAGCUUAAAACUCAAAGGAAUUGACGGGGGCCCGCACAAGCAGCGGAGCGUGUGGUUUAAUUCCGACGCAACACGAAGAACCUUACCGGGCUUGACAUGACGCUGCAGGCGCGGGAAACCGCGCGGCCUUCGAGGGGGCGUCACAGGUGCUGCAUGGCUGUCGUCAGCUC